ensembl:lncRNA
GUAGAGCAGGGCAGGGUAGAGCAGGGCAGGGUAGAGCAGGGCAGGGUAGAGCAGGGCAGGAUAGAGCAGGGCAGGGUAGAGCAGGGCAGGGUAGAGCAGGGAAGGUUAGAGUAGGGCAGGGUAGAGCAGGGCAGGGUAGAGCAGGGCAGGGUAGAGCAUGUGACGAUAGAGCAGGGCAGGAUAGAGCAGGGCAGGGAUAGAGCAGGGCAGGAUAGAGCAGGGCAGGGUAGAGCAGCGCAGAAUAUAGCAGGGUAGACCAGGGCAGGGUAGAGCAGGGAAGGAUAGAGCAUGGCAGGAUAGAGCAGGGCAGGGUAGAGCAGGGCAGGAUAGAGCAGGGCAGGAUAGAGUAGGGCAGGGUAGAGCAGGGCAGAAUAGAGCAGGGCAGGGUAGAGUAGGGCAGGGUAGAGCAGGGCAGGGUAGAGCAGGGCAGGGUAGAGCCAGGAAGGAUAGAGUAGGGCAGGGUAGAGCAGGGCAGAAUAGAGCAGGGCAGGGUAGAGUAGGGCAGGGUAGAGCAGGGCAGGGUAGAGCAGGGCAGGGUAGAGCCAGGAAGGAUAGAGUAGGGCAGGGUAGAGCAGGGCAGAAUAGAGCAGGGCAGGGUAGAGCAGGGCAGGGUAGAGCCAGGAAGGAUAGAGUAGGGCAGGGUAGUAGAGCAGGGUAGAAUAGAGCAGGGCAGGGUAGAGUAGGGGGCAGGGUAGAGCAGGGAAGGAUAGAGUAGGGCAGGGUAGAGCAGGGCAGGGUAGAGCAGGGCAGGGUAGAGCAUGUGACGAUAGAGCAGGGCAGGAUAGAGCAGGGCAGGAUAGAGCAGGGCAGGAUAGAGCAGGGCAGGGUAGAGCAGGGCAGUAUAGGUGGAUUAGUGGUGUGUUGUAUUCUAGCUGCUGAAGACUCAGUCCCCCAGGGCUCCAGAUAAAGAUCAUCUAUCAGGCCAUUCCUCCCAUGAAGCACAGAGGAUCAUCCACUCCCUUCAUUACCCAACUGACACACACAAACACUCUAACACACACAUGUACCCAAGCACACACACAGACACACCCUUACACACGCACACUUACACGCAAGCACGCACACACGCAAGCACAAAAGCUCACACAAGCUGCUGAGGUAGACACACAUUUACACAAGGGGAGGGGAGUUCUCAGCGGGCCAACACACUCAGUCUCUAACAUGGAUGAACACAGUACAAUGGUACUGUCUCUCUAACACACAGAUGGGCCUGGUACAACGGUACUGUCUCUCUGACACACAGAUGGGCAUGGUACAACGGUACUGUCUCUGUGACACACAGAUGGGCAUGGUACAACUGUACUGUCUCUCUGGCACACAGAUGGGCAUGGUACAACGGUACUGUCUCUCUGACACACAGAUGGGCCUGGUACAACGGUACUGUCUCUCUAACACAUGGAUGGGCAUGGUACAACGGUAGUGUCUCUCUAACACACAGAUGGGCCUGGUACAACGGUACUGUCUCUCUGACACACGGAUGGGCAUGGUACAACUGUACUGUCUCUCUAACACACGGAUGGGCCUGGUACAACGGUACUGUCUCUCUGACACACGGAUGGGCCUGGUACAACGGUACUGUGUCUCUGACAUACGGAUGGGCCUGGUACAACUGUACUGUCUCUCUAACACACGGAUGGGCCUGGUACAACGAUACUGUCUCUCUGACACACGGAUGGGCAUGGUACAACGGUACUGUCUCUCUGACACACGGAUGGGCCUGGUACAAUGGUACUGUCUCUCUGACACACGGAUGGGCAUGGUACAAUGGUACUGUCUCUCUGACACACGGAUGGGCCUGGUACAACGGUACUGUGUCUCUGACACACGGAUGGGCAUGGUACAACUGUACUGUCUCUCUAACACACGGAUGGGCAUGGUACAACGGUACUGUCUCUCUGACACACAAAUGGGCCUGGUACAACGGUACUGUCUCUCUGACACACGGAUGGGCAUGGUACAACUGUACUGUCUCUCUAACACACGGAUGGGCCUGGUACAACGGUACUGUCUCUCUGACACACGGAUGGGCCUGGUACAACGGUACUGUCUCUCUGACACACGGAUGGGCAUGGUACAACUGUACUGUCUCCCAUAUGAACACAGUCUCUCCCUCUGAAACACACACAGUGUUGUAACGUGAUGUAAUGGUGUUUUCUCUCUCUAUCACUCAGACUCAUACAGUACAAGUCAUGUUGCUGAUUCACUCCUUCCUGUCUUCUAUUGUUCUGUCAUCACUCCUCCUCACAUCAAACUCCCGUCUUUCACCACCUCUCCUCUCAUCCUCUUCCUCAUCUCUCUCUUUCCCCCUCUCUUCUUUGGUUUACGGGUCCUAUCCCCUCGGUUCAUUUAGUGCUCU